ensembl:rRNA 5S_rRNA 5S ribosomal RNA
GCCUACAGCCACACCACCCUCAACACUCCCGAUCUUGUCUGUUCUUGGAAGCUAAACAGGGUCCGGCCUGGUUAGUACAUUGGAAGCACUGAUGUUGAAGUUG